rnacentral:rRNA from 1 species
CCUACGGGGCGCAGCAGUGAGGAAUAUUGGUCAAUGGCCGGAAGGCUGAACCAGCCAUGCCGCGUGAAGGUCAGUGCCCUAUGGGCGUUAAACUUCUUUUGUGUGGGAGCAAUAAUGGUCACGUGUGGCCAGACGAGAGUACCGUACGAAUAAGCAUCGGCUAACUCCGUGCCAGCAGCCGCGGUAAUACGGGGGAUGCAAGCGUUAUCCGGAUUUAUUGGGUUUAAAGGGUGCGUAGGCUGUGAGGUAAGUCAGCGGGGAAAUGCCCCCGCUCAACGGGGUGAAGUGCCAUUGAUACUGCCUUGCUGGAAUGCGGAUGCCGUGGGAGGAAUGUGUGGUGUAGCGGUGAAAUGCAUAGAUAUCACACAGAACACCGAUUGCGAAGGCAUCUCACGAAUCCGCGAUUGACGCUGAUGCACGAAAGCGUGGGUAUCAAACAGGAUUAGAUACCCCAGUAGUC